rnacentral:rRNA from 11 species
UCACACAUCUAGUAAGCUGACUUAAGCCCUGGAUUCCAUCUGAUCUUGGAAGCUAAGCACAGUCAGCCUUGUUUAAUACUUGGAUGGGGGACUACCAAGAAAUACCAAAUGUUGUAAGCU